GUCUACGGUCAUACCACCCUGAACUCACCCAAUCUCGUCUGAUCUUGGAAACUAAGCAGGGUCAGGCCUGGUUAGUACUUGGAUGGGUAAUGGGUGCUGUAGGCG
rnacentral:rRNA from 1 species